rnacentral:tRNA from 1 species
AUUUAUAUAGUUUAAGUAAAACAUUACAUUUUCAUUGUAAAAAUAAAAUUUUAAUUUUUAUAAAUA